rnacentral:piRNA from 1 species
UGGUAGAAAAACCCUUUAAGAAGGCGUGGGG